CAACCUACCAAACAAGCUAAUCUGUAUCAAUUGGGUCUGGCUAAUGCUCAUCCGAGCUACCAAACGAGACCAAAGUGUUCGGCGGUGGCGUGCGCUGCCGCGGGUGCAACGAGAAAGGCCUCGUCAUGUGCCCGCUCUGCUUGAUUGGCAGGACGAGGAGCGCAGCGACAGCGGUGGCCAUGGUGCGUGGGCGAGUGCAUGGUACGCGUGUCCUCGGCAGCGGCUGUGGCAAGGUGGCAUGAGGGCAUCCAGCAGUAGCAGCAGCAACGACAGUGCUCGCGGCGCUCACAGGGUGCUCGACGAAAUGCUUGAAGAAGGAAGAAGGGACAAGAGAGGAGACGUCCAGUCAACGCGCCAUGUCAUCGAUAGAUACAUGCGUGGAAGGGUAUAGAUCUAGAUGACACAACUUGACGUCCAGUCAACGCGCCAUGUCAUCGAUAGAUACACAGUGGAAGGAUAGGGAUCCAGAUGACAUAACUUACAAAGUUUACAGAGUUUAUGUACUUAGAAAUGUACUUUCAAAUUACAAAGUUUACAGAGUUUAUGUACUUAGAAAUGUACUUUCAAAUUUUGGGUCCUUUUAGGGACCCAAGUGACACUCCGUUACAAGUUAGUGGACCACCUCUUAAGUGCA